AACGAACGCUGGCGGCAUGCCUAACACAUGCAAGUCGAACGGCAGCACGGGAGCAAUCCUGGUGGCGAGUGGCGAACGGGUGAGUAAUAUAUCGGAACGUGCCCAGUCGUGGGGAUAACGUAGCGAAAGCUACGCUAAUACCGCAUACGAUCUAUGGAUGAAAGCGGGGGAUCGCAAGACCUCGCGCGAUUGGAGCGGCCGAUAUCAGAUUAGGUAGUUGGUGAGGUAAAGGCUCACCAAGCCGACGAUCUGUAGCUGGUCUGAGAGGACGACCAGCCACACUGGGACUGAGACACGGCCCAGACUCCUACGGAGGCAGCAGUGGGGAAUUUUGGACAAUGGGCGCAAGCCUGAUCCAGCAAUGCCGCGUGAGUGAUGAAGCCUUAGGGUUGUAAAGCUNUUUUACCCGAGAUGAUAAUGACAGUAUCGGGAGAAUAAGCUCCGGCUAACUCCGUGCCAGCAG
rnacentral:rRNA from 1 species